CCAGUUGGCCGGGCAGCCGCGCUCUACCAAUGCCGAAAGGCGGUAGGGUGAGGAAAGUCCGGGCUCCACGGAGACACGGUGCCGGAUAACGUCCGGCGGGGGCGACCUCAGGGAAAGUGCCACAGAAAGCAAACCGCCCUGCAUGCAGGGUAAGGGUGAAAGGGUGGGGUAAGAGCCCACCGCGUCGCUGGCAACAGGGACGGCACGGUAAACCCCACCGGGAGCAAGACCGAAUAGGGAUGACGCGGGUGUCGCGCAAGCGGUGCCACAGCCUGUUUCCGGGCCAGUCAUCCGGGUGGGUUGCGUGAGGCAGCGUGCAAACGCUGUCCCAGAUGAAUGGCUGCCACGUUCCGGGAAACCGGAGCCAUACAGAACCCGGCUUACAGGCCAACUGGCGAU
rnacentral:RNase_P_RNA from 1 species